UACGAAGGGUGCAAGCGUUACUCGGAAUUACUGGGCGUAAAGCGUGCGUAGGUGGUGAGUUAAGUCUGUCGUGAAAGCCCCGGGCUCAACCUGGGAAUGGCGAUGGAUACUGGCUCGCUAGAGUGCGGUAGAGGAGAGUGGAAUUCCCGGUGUAGCAGUGAAAUGCGUAGAUAUCGUGAGGAACACCAGAGGCGAAGGCGGUUACCUGGACAGUUACUGACGCUCAGGCACGAAAGCGUGGGGAGCAAAAGGG
rnacentral:rRNA from 1 species